ensembl:lncRNA
AUUAAUAAUGCUGCAGCGGGUCUCCAAGAAUGGGAAUUUACGGUGGUAGUCAAAGCCAAUGUUUCGGAUCAAUGCAACAUCCCUACUCAGAAUGAAAAAAUAAAUUAAACGGACUGUCAUGUGGAGGGACAAUGCUGAUGGACUGCUGUGGAUAAAUGAUGUUCGUUCUGCACCUUGAGGGUGGGAUGCUGCCUUGCACAGAGGUCAUGUCUUCCUCCACAUCCAGCACCGAUGGGGCUGUAUGGAACACCACACCAAUGGACUGCUGUGCCAACAACAUGUUGGGUUGGAGGUAUGCAAUUGCCAUCUGGGUACAGUCCCUGUGGCCAAACCCAAUGGCGAUGUAGGACACAAGGGUGGCUGCCCAUCGCCGCUCCCUCCGGAAAGGAGCCAGACAGGAGAGAAAUCACUGCUGUCCAUGCCCCAAAAUCAAGAUGUGAAGUGGACAAGGCUCUGUUCUGCUGUUCCCUCUGCUGAGAUGUCAGAAGGACUCCCCAGGCAUCCAUCCACACUGAACACCUCCAUGAGACCUCUCUGCCCCAGGAAGCAGGAAGAUGCCUUUAUAUGUCCCCUUUUAGCAGCUGCUGCAAACUUCUUUUAUGCUAAAGCACGUGGAGCCGCGUUGAUUUAUUUAGCAGCGUCUCUGGAGGCUUCUUCAAGGUUAAGAUGUAGACAUCGCAUGUUAGGCUGGGCUGAAUGCUGGCAGGAAAAGACAUUUGGCUCUUCUAAUUGGAAAAACACGCCGCUUUUAUCACCCCGAGGCCAAGCCUCUACCACAGCCACACAGCACAGGGGAACACAGCGGCUCAGCCCUGGGUCCCCAGAAAGGAGCACCGUCCCCUCACUGCCCUCCAGGUCAGCCCCGGUGGUGCACCCAUCCCUGCUGAGUGCUCAGCACCGGUCACGGAGCUGUCAGCCACGCUGUGCCUCAGUUUCCCCACUGCUGCUGGC